AUUGAACGCUGGCGGCAUGCCUUACACAUGCAAGUCGAACGGUAACAGGUCUUCGGAUGCUGACGAGUGGCGAACGGGUGAGUAAUACAUCGGAACGUGCCUAGUAGUGGGGGAUAACUACCCGAAAGAGUGGCUAAUACCGCAUGAGAUCUACGGAUGAAAGCAGGGGAUCGCAAGACCUUGUGCUACUAGAGCGGCCGAUGGCAGAUUAGGUAGUUGGUGGGAUAAAAGCUUACCAAGCCGACGAUCUGUAGCUGGUCUGAGAGGACGAUCAGCCACACUGGGACUGAGACACGGCCCAGACUCAUACGGGAGGCAGCAGUGGGGAAUUUUGGACAAUGGGCGAAAGCCUGAUCCAGCAAUGCCGCGUGCAGGAUGAAGGCCUUCGGGUUGUAAACUGCUAUUGUACGGAACGAAAAGCCCCGGGUUAAUACCCUGGGGUCAUGACGGUACCGUAAGAAUGAGCACCGGCUAACUACGUGCCAGCCGCCGCUGUAA
rnacentral:rRNA from 1 species